CGACCUUAUUCUGUUUAGUGUUUCAACUCGCUUCAUCGCAUUUUUACGUUUUCUAUUUAUAAUCUGUAGUACAUCUAUGAACUAUAUAAUAUUUGCAAUUUUUUCAUUUCAAUCAUUCAUAUUUAUGAUUGGUCGCUUCCUUAGGUGACUCAAUAUCAUGCGUGAGUAUAUGUGAUUAGAUUUCGCGAUCUCAAUUGAAAAUCGUACAUAUCGCAAGUCUUUGUAACAGUGCCUGUAGAUUGAAUAUAGUUUUCGUUAAAUUUGGAUUAAUGUUCUGUAUGUGGUCUGCUACUGGAUAAAAAAAGUUAGCACUUCGUAUUGAGAAUUGAACACGGGAUUCUCGCGCUGCCUAUAACUGGAAUGCUUCAAAAGUAUCUUUAUAAAAUGUUAAGAUAACUAAAUUCUGUGUUUAGCCUUAGAAAUUUGUCAAAAACUGCAAAAAAUUUGUCAGGAGUGGGAUUCGAACCCACGCCUCCAGAUGGAGACCAGAAGGCACAUUGGGAUCAGAUAUUUGAAAACUGAUAAGGUAAUAACCUUGAGUCUGGCGCCUUAGACCGCUCGGCCAUCCUGACACUUGAAAGUCACGUCUUAUACAAUAUAAAUAUAUAUGUUUUCAAAUGAUUA